AAGAACAAAACCAAGCCAGCCUAAAGAGUGUUUAUUUUCACCAGUUGCUGGACUUUCUUGAAGUUCUCUGCCUUAACUGUGACUAUCACCGUUGGAUAGAGAUCUUCUGUCAUGAUAUCAGUGUGCAUAUUCCUCAUCAUAUCUCUCCUAAAAUUCUAAGUCACGCACACAAUCAAAAUAUCUACAACUAUGGCGAAACCAAGAAACACAAGCAGAUCCACAGUCACUUUAAUCUGGUCUUCUCCUCUGUGCUUUUCGGAGUUACAAGAGACUAGGUGGACAAUCUAA